GGACUACAGGGGUUUCUAAUCCCGUUCGCUCCCCUGGCUUUCGCACCUGAGCGUCAGGUACUCCCCAGGACACUGCCUUCGCCUUUGGUGUUCCUCCGGAUCUCUACGCAUUUCACCACUCCACCCGGAAUUCCGUGUCCCUCUGAAGCCCUCAAGUCCAACAGUUUUCGAAGCACUUUCCCAGUUGAGCCAGGAACUGUCACUCCAAACUUGCAGGACCGCCUGCGUGCGCUUUACGCCCAGUAACUCCGGACAACGCUUGCCCCCUACGUAUUACCGCGGCGGCUGGCAC
rnacentral:rRNA from 1 species